CUAGUUGAAUAAGAUAAAGAAAUGAAUAUAUCAAAAGCAUAUACUGAAGCUAAAUCACAGAGCUCAAAAAAGAAACAAAAAGAGAGGUCUUUGCGGAAGAACAAGAAACCUACUUGUGAAACUCCCCUAGAAAUCAAUUAGGGCACAAAUUUCUUAGGGCUUUCUCUGCAUUUUGCUGGAUCAUCCUAGUUCUUUAUUCCAGAGGUUCAAGGAAAGCUCAAUAUUGUAGUUUCACAUCUAGGGUUUUGAUUUUCUUUUAAAAAAAUUAGGGUUUUACAAUUGUUGCUGUUGUAAAGAAACGAAGAGAGAUAUACAGUGGUAGCGAGACAGCGAGUGACUCUUCGAAGAAAAAAAAAACAGUCUAAAUAAUUUUAUUUUUAAAUUAUAUUUUGUGAUACUGUUUUCUGUUUUGUAAUUAAUUUAUUUUUGGAGAUCUAGUGAAGAUCUUGUACAGUACCGGCGUUAAUGGCGGAUCUUGUUUGAUAUCUUUCCAUCUUUCCUUUUAUCUCGAAUAUCCCAACCACUUCUUUCUUUACUGGAGGAGCUAGUAGCUACUACUAAUAAUAAUAAGUACCUAAACUAGUUUUCUUUCUUGUUCUAUACUGUUUGAAUGUUGGACUACAGCAAACCCUAGUUACUAAUGAGUUUUUCUUCUUCUUUCUAUUUUCAUUUCUCAUUUUCUCGGAGUUUUCAUCUUCUUCCACUUCUUCUUCCCUUUCUGCUAUUUGUACUUCUUUUCCUGACUUUGUUGUCAAAAUGAAGCAUUUUAAAGCCUAUUUUCCUGGGUUGGAGAUUAAAGAAGAGCAUCAUGAUGAAGAUAAGUAUGUAUAUAUGCUGAUCUGUGGAGUUAAGAAAUAACCUAGAUUUUCUUGUUUUCAUACAAUCUUUUUAAAAGGUGAGAUCUUCUCUGAAGGGCAAGGUGGUGCUUAGCAAAUUUUCUGAAAAAUCUUAAAUUAGGGUUACCACCAUUCAAUGGAUUCUAAUAAGCUACUUGAUCUACUUAUAUUUGAGAAAAUGAGAAAAUUUUAAGUUUUGAUUUAUUUGGAUAGAACAUGAAAAGGAUAUCAAGAGAGAUCAUCAAAUGAAAAAGAAAAAAAAAGGAAAGCAAGAGAUAAUGUGGAUGUGAGGCUACUACUAGUUCAAUACCAAACAGGUUGCAACUCUUCGCCGGCAAAGAAUCCGGCAGACUACUGAGCAUUUUCGUUCUAUACUAGCCGGUUAUCGUUUGACUAUGCUCUUACAUAGAUCAUCAAAUGAAAAAGAAAAAAGGAAAGCAAUACAAAUUGUAGAUGUGAGGCCACUAGUUCAAUACCAAAGAGGUGACAAAAUAUGUUGCAGCUCUUCGACGGCAAAGAAUCCGACAGGCUACUGAGCAUUUUCAUUCUAUACAUCAUUUAAUUUUGUUCAUCCAUGCAUACUGCUUACUUUACAUACCAAAAAACAAACAAAAACAAGUCAUUGUUUGUGGUAAAAGAAACUUAAAUGAAAAAAAUCAAUGGAUGUUUCAUGGAAAGGCAACAACGAUAAUCUGAAAACAUGUUCUAAGGAA